rnacentral:rRNA from 1 species
GAUGAACGCUGGCGGCGUGCCUAAUACAUGCAAGUCGAGCGAAUGGAUUAAGAGCUUGCUCUUAUGAAGUUAGCGGCGGACGGGUGAGUAACACGUGGGUAACCUGCCCAUAAGACUGGGAUAACUCCGGGAAACCGGGGCUAAUACCGGAUAACAUUUUGAACCGCAUGGUUCGAAAUUGAAAGGCGGCUUCGGCUGUCAAUUAUGGAUGGACCCGCGGCGCAUUGGCUAGUUGGUGAGGUAACGGCUCACCAAGGCAACGAUGCGUAGCCGACCUGAGAGGGUGAUCGGCCACACUGGGACUGAGACACGGCCCAGACUCCUACGGGAGGCAGCAGUAGGGAAUCUUCCGCAAUGGACGAAAGUCUGACGGAGCAACGCCGCGUGAGUGAUGAAGGCUUUCGGGUCGUAAAACUCUGUUGUUAGGGAAGAACAAGUGCUAGUUGAAUAAGCUGGCACCUUGACGGUACCUAACCAGAAAGCCACGGCUAACUACGUGCCAGCCGCCGCAGUAA